ensembl:antisense Gm43507 predicted gene 43507
UGAACAAUACAGAAGAUCCUCUUUUGAGGGGUCUUCCUCUUGCUUUCCAGACUGGCAGCCUCCAGAAAGCAAUCUGCAUCGUGGAGAUGGCUCUAUGGGUAAAGGACUCGCCUUCAAGCAAGGUGACCAGAGGUGGGGCCAUCAUCAUACAUGUGAGUACCAGGGUUACUGGACAUUGAUCAUAAGGAAGGAUCUGUGGGAAGACAAUCACAAGCUGAACAUCAAGAUUAUUUCCAAUGAAAAAAAGACCAGAGAACACUUCAUCCCAAGUCACUGACGACCAGAAACUUGUAUUUCAGAACAACAGUAACAAGAUGUAUAUAUGGAGGUGUGAAUUCCACUUCUAGAAUUAACUAGGUCAAAAGUUUUUGCUGUUGCAUCCAAAUGAACCAAGAUAAGAAUCCACCGAGCGACCUUAUCCCUCUCGAGAAGCCAGCACUCACAUCCAGAGUGUGCAGUCUUUCCUUCCUUGACUUUUUUUUCCCCUUAAGUCUAAACCUAAAACUAUGCUAGAGACUUUUCUUAAUAUAGACCUCAACCCUUCCUCAAGAUUAAAAAAAAAUCCAUAUUCUGAUUCCUUUUUAUGAAAAUUGUAGCAUCAUAGCUAGAAUUACUUAGUUUGAACUGAAAUAGGAAUCCAUACCAGGGUCUCUUUUUAGACAAAAACCACUGAU